rnacentral:rRNA from 1 species
UACGGAGGGGGCUAGCGUUGUUCGGAAUUACUGGGCGUAAAGCGCACGUAGGCGGAUUGGAAAGUUGGGGGGUGAAAUCCCGGGGCUCAACCCCGGAACUGCCUUCAAAACUCCCAGUCUGGAGGUCGAGAGAGGUGAGUGGAAUUCCGAGUGUAGAGGUGAAAUUCGUAGAUAUUCGGAGGAACACCAGUGGCGAAGGCGGCUCACUGGCUCGAUACUGACGCUGAGGUGCGAAAGCGUGGGGAGCAAACAGG